rnacentral:rRNA from 1 species
GUGUGCCUACGGGGGGCAGCAGUGGGGGAUAUUGCACAAUGGGGGGAACCCUAAUGCAGCGACGCCGCGUGGGUGAAGAAGCGCCUCGGCGCGUAAAGCCCUGUCAGCAGGGAAGAAAAUGACGGUACCUGAAGAAGAAGCCCCGGCUAACUACGUGCCAGCAGCCGCGGUAAUACGUAGGGGGCAAGCGUUAUCCGGAUUUACUGGGUGUAAAGGGGGCGUAGACGGUGCUGCAAGCCAGAUGU